GACGAACGCUGGCGGCGUGCUUAACACAUGCAAGUCGAACGGUAAGGCCCUUCGGGGUACACGAGUGGCGAACGGGUGAGUAACACGUGGGUGAUCUGCCCUGCACUUCGGGAUAAGCCUGGGAAACUGGGUCUAAUACCGGAUAGGACCACUGCCUGCAUGGGUGGUGGUGGAAAGCUUUUGCGGUGUGGGAUGGGCCCGCGGCCUAUCAGCUUGUUGGUGGGGUGAUGGCCUACCAAGGCGACGACGGGUAGCCGGCCUGAGAGGGUGACCGGCCACACGGGGACUGAGAUACGGCCCAGACUCCUACGGGAUGCAGCAGUGGGGAAGAUUGCACAAUGGGCGCAGGCGUGAUGCAGCGCCGCCGCGUGAGGGAUGACGGCCUUCGGGUUGUAAACCUCUUUCAGCACCGACGAAGCGCAAGUGACGGUAGGUGCAGAAGAAGGACCGGCCAACUACGUGCCAGCCGCCGCGGUAA
rnacentral:rRNA from 1 species